rnacentral:rRNA from 1 species
UACAGAGGGUGCAAGCGUUGUUCGGAAUUAUUGGGCGUAAAGGGAGUGUAGGCGGCUUGUUAAGUCUUCUGUGAAAUCUACGGGCUCAGCCUGUAAAGUGCAGAGGAAACUGGCGAGCUUGAGUGUCGGAGAGGAUAGGGGAAUACCCGGUGUAGAGGUGAAAUGCGUAGAGAUCGGGUGGAACACCAGUGGCGAAGGCGCCUAUCUGGCUGACAACUGACGCUGAGACUCGAAAGCAUGGGGAGCAAACAGG